rnacentral:rRNA from 1 species
UACGUAGGUGGCAAGCGUUGUCCGGAUUUAUUGGGCGUAAAGCGCGCGCAGGUGGUUUCUUAAGUCUGAUGUGAAAGCCCACGGCUCAACCGUGGAGGGUCAUUGGAAACUGGGAGACUUGAGUGCAGAAGAGGAAAGUGGAAUUCCAAGUGUAGCGGUGAAAUGCGUAGAGAUUUGGAGGAACACCAGUGGCGAAGGCGACUUUCUGGUCUGUAACUGACGCUGAGGCGCGAAAGCAUGGGGAGCGAACAGG